rnacentral:sRNA from 1 species
UUCCUACUACACUUCCUGUUUGAAACCCGAAGGAAACAGUCCAGUAAUCCGCAACGUGAAUGAAGUUAAUUUCCAUGGUAGGCCUUAUCUUGGCCUUGUCUGGGGCUGCUUUGGGCCUAAGACAUAAAAUCUGUGGUCAAGAGCCGGCCCACAGCGGCCGUUGCCGUGCCUUAAUAGAAUCUUAUACCUAUUAUUCCGAUACGAACGAGUGUGCAUUGUUCGAUUACGGCGGAUGCGAGGGGAACGAGAAUCGUUUCAUGAGGAAAGCGGAAUGCGAGUCAAAAUGCAGAGAAUAAUUCAUUGUUUUUUAUUCUUAGUUCAUCAAAAGUUGUACGAAUAAAUGGAUAUUCAAUUGAAAAACUGAUAUCUACUUCAGACAAGUCGCUUCACAUCACCUGAAACACACAGGCCACUAAUCCGCAAUGAGUAUGAAGUUAAUUUCCAUAGUAGGCGUUAUCUUUGCCUUGUCUGGGGUUGCUAUUGGGCUCAAGAAUCGGAUCUGUGGUCAAAAAUCGGCCCACUUCGGGUACUGCAGUGGCUAUAAGAAAGGAUUUACCUAUUAUCCCGAGACGAACGAGUGCAAAAUGUUCGUUUACGGCCGAUGUGCUGGGAACAAAAAUCGUUUCAAGGAUAAAGCGGUCUGCGAGGCAAAGUGCAAGGAAUAAUAAAUAUUCUGAGUUGUACGAAAAA